rnacentral:rRNA from 1 species
GCAGCCAUGCCGCGUGUGUGAAGAAGGCCUUCGGGUUGUAAAGCACUUUCAGUCAGGAGGAAAGGUUAGUAGUUAAUACCUGCUAGCUGUGACGUUACUGACAGAAGAAGCACCGGCUAACUCCGUGCCAGCAGCCGCGGUAAUACGGAGGGUGCGAGCGUUAAUCGGAAUUACUGGGCGUAAAGCGUACGCAGGCGGUUUGUUAAGCGAGAUGUGAAAGCCCCGGGCUCAACCUGGGAACUGCAUUUCGAACUGGCAAACUAGAGUGUGAUAGAGGGUGGUAGAAUUUCAGGUGUAGCGGUGAAAUGCGUAGAGAUCUGAAGGAAUACCGAUGGCGAANGCAGCCACCUGGGUCAACACUGACGCUCAUGUACGAAAGCGUGGGGAGCAAACGGG